rnacentral:rRNA from 1 species
AUUGAACGCUGGCGGCAUGCCUUACACAUGCAAGUCGAACGGUAACAGGGAGCUUGCUCCGCUGACGAGUGGCGAACGGGUGAGUAAUGUAUCGGAACGUACCAUUCAGUGGGGGAUAACGUAGCGAAAGUUACGCUAAUACCGCAUAUUCUGUGAGCAGGAAAGCAGGGGAUCGCAAGACCUUGCGCUGAUUGAGCGGCCGAUAUCAGAUUAGCUAGUUGGUGAGGUAAAGGCUCACCAAGGCGACGAUCUGUAGCGGGUCUGAGAGGAUGAUCCGCCACACUGGAACUGAGACACGGUCCAGACUCCUACGGGAGGCAGCAGUGGGGAAUUUUGGACAAUGGGGGCAACCCUGAUCCAGCCAUGCCGCGUGAGUGAAGAAGGCCUUCGGUUGUAAAGCUCUUUCGGCCGGGAAAAUACGCAUCAGUUAAUACCUGGUGUGGAUGAUGGUACCGGAAUAAGAAGCACCGGCUAACUACGUG